UCGGGGAGUCUGGCCUCUGGUCGUU
rnacentral:misc_RNA from 1 species